rnacentral:sRNA from 1 species
AUUAAUUUAAGAAGAAAAAGGGCAAAUGAGAAAAGUGGACUUUCCUUUUAGGCUGUUUUAAUAAUCGUCUUCCCCGCGGUUUGCCCAUCUGUCUCCGUCUUCAUCAUCAAGCAAAAAAAAAACUCAUCUUUCUCCACUCUCUCUCUCUCUCUCUCUCUCUCUCU